UGUGUACACUCAGCAGUCUGUCUGUGUGUGUAUUUAGCAGUCUGUCUGUGUGUGUGUGUGUGUGUGUAUUUAGCAGUCUGUUUGUGUGUGUGUAUUUAGCAGUCUGUGUGUGUAUUCAGCAGACUGUGUACUCAGCAGUCUGCUAAAUACAGACAGACUGCUAAGUACACAGACAGACUGCUAAAUACACAUACAGACAGACUGCCGAGCAC